rnacentral:hammerhead_ribozyme from 1 species
AGUCAAUUGAGGAGUCCCAUAAUAGGACGAAACGGCCGUCCAGUGU